rnacentral:misc_RNA from 1 species
GACUAUUGCCUUUCAGUUCCCUUUUGAGAACAACUUACAGGACAAUGUUGCCACCAUGGCUCGUCAAUAUGUACGCAGUGUGAUUUCCUCUGUACAGAGGGUUGCCAUGGCUAUAUCUCCAUCAGGAUUGAGCCUAGCUGUGGGACCUAAGUUAUCUCCUGGUUCUCCUGAAGCUCUUACCUUGUCUCACUGGAUCUGCCAAAGUUAUAGUUACUAUUUAGGGGCCGAAUUGCUGAGGUCUGAUUCUCUUGGGGGAGAUUCUGUGUAAACAUCUAUGGCAUCAUCAGGAUGCCAUCUUAUGUUGUUCAUUGAAGUCGCUUCCAGUUUUCAUCUUUGCCAAUCAGGCGGGGCUCGACAUGCUUGAGACAACUUUGGUGGCUCUCCAAGACAUCACAUUGGAUAAGAUAUUUGAUGAAUCUGGACGCAAGGCACUGUGUGCAGAAUUUGCAAAGUUAAUGCAGCAGGGAUUCACAUACUUGCCGGGUGGAAUCUGCAUGUCGACAAUGGGGCGUCAUGUUUCGUAUGAGCAAGCUAUUGCAUGGAAAGUCCUUGCUGCAGAUGAGGACACUGUUCAUUGCCUUGCCUUCUCCUUUGUAAACUGGUCUUUUGUGUGAUGAUAAUUCAUUCAUCUGAUGUCCUCUUCCUCCCUGGGUUGAAUAUAAAAAAACAAAGGUGGAGAAACAAAGGUGGAGAAUCUUGAAAAUGGAAAAAAAAGAAAAAGAAAAAGAAAAGUUUUGUAAUAUUUAAACUUCCCAGGUUUGCAUAAAAUUAAUUAAAUU